GCUGUCCCAGUGAUACAAAUCUGCAGCUACGUUUUGAUAUGAAACAAUAUGCAUGUGGGGAAAAUCUAGAAAAAAAGACUACUUUUGAAUUGCGAGAGCGCAAGUAACAGUCUUUUCGUGAUCUGACAAUUAUUGAUUACCUACAUAUAAUACGAAUUCUCCAGUAACUGUUAAUAAACAAUAUUUAUUCACAAAGCAAGGGCCGUCAGGGAGAAUAUACAGUUUUAACAAAAAGAUUCAUUAUAAAUACAGUACAUGAUACUAUGUGUGUUAUGAAUAAAUUUCCACAUUGGUCAGAAAUUGGAUCAUGAAAAUAUUGACGAUGCACAAUAUACAUGUAAUAUAGAAAAUGAAAGGUGGCUUGAAUACAGACGCUACCAAGGGACGGAGCCUGUACACAAUCAGACGGGCAGUCCUGUACUCCAAGUAGUCAAGACAAUCCAUUCAUAAAUAAAUCUUCAUUUGAAAGCGACAGAAAAAGAUAAAAUACACAAGGACUUAAACAAGUUUAAUAUAAUACAUUUCCGUUUUUCGAGUAUUUAUAAACCUUUAUUGGUCAUGAGCCAGGUUAGCUUUUGAUCACUGUCCAUGUUAUGAAAGUUCCUACAGGAGCUACACUCAGCCGGGGCAUUGAUUCGCGCGGUCCCUUCACGCGCUUGUUUGAUCAUUGUUAUCUCUCAUGAUAAUGACCCACAGCUGUAGGGACCCGUGAUUACUGUAGAUUCGGAAUGGACAAAACUGGCUUUUUCCCCUCUACAAUCAAUGUUUUAGUUAAAUAGACAAUAGAAGACGUGAUUGAUUUCGUAUCUGGAAUACGUGAGUGGAUGCAGAGCACAAUGAUUUGUUUACCAGUGUUAAAGCAUCUCAACAAUUAACGCCAUACAAGACGAAGUGCAUUUUAAAUAUAGUGUCCAUUAUAUAUUACAAAUGUUGACUGUCCUCCGCGAAAACCACUACUUAAGCUCAUAUAGUUUUAACAAGUAAUGUUACUUUUGAAUAUUAUCCAAGCAUAGUCAACCAUGUGUGUUAAAGCAAAUUGCGACUUUCGAGUAAAGGACAGUAUAAUUAAUUCAACCUUGAGAAACAACAAGGUUGUUUGUUUUACUAUUGAUAAAUGGAUAAACACGGAUUGUUAUCUCACUUUUCUAUCUAUAUCUGUUCUCUAUAUCUUUUGCGCUUCAUUUUACGCAAAUAUCUUAAUUGCUCUCGAAGCGGUCACAAUGCACUUAUUCUUACAGUAUUGCCAAAACUUCCUGUUUUACAUCUAAAGGUGGAUUGUUUAACUCUGAAUGCAUACGUGUCAAAACGAGGCUCUACUUGAACUUUAAAUUGUCCGACAGUUGGUCAAUGUACAGAAAGAAGAUAACGUGAAUAUUUUGUAUUUCAUAAUUCUGUUAGGCUUGAUGUAAUUUAUGAGUCAAAUGUCUAAACAUGUGUUCUAGUGGCGAUUGCUCCGUCCGUCCGUUUGUCCGUCUAGAUGCGCUCCCUGUGACGUUCGCAGGAACACGUACACGUACUGUUCAAAAGUCACUUGCAACUUAUACGACAUGCGUUCCUCGGAACACUAUAAUUUGAAUAAUUACUGUCGAGGGACACAGUUUUAACAAAAAAAAUUCUUUUUUCUAAACUUAAAGGUUAUCAUUUCGGCAGAUGAAGAAUUAAUCCAAGUAAUAAAUUUGUUUGUGGAGAUCGAUAUUAUUUAAUAGACCGGAUGGUCACAUAAUGCAUGGAUAGGAAAUUUACGUAGAAAGAACACGUAAUAUUUGCUAGUACUCCAUAACCCCAACAGAUCAGAAGCCUGUAUCAACAUAAAUAUAUCGUGUUGGUUAAUAAAAUGAUUUCUGAAUGACCGCAAUUACCAGAAAGUUCCGUCAAAUGGUGAGGACAUAGCUUGAUUUUAUCGCGUCAUUCAAUAUCUUAAACAAGAUGAUGGAAUUCUGUAUUAAUACUAUGUUUACUUAUCCCCAUUUUUUGUACUAUUCUCCCCACAAAAACCGACCUACUAAUUAUUUAUCACAUUGUUUUGGGCGCAUGACGUCAUAAUUUCGCGCUGAACUAAACAGUAUUGUUUAUUUCCGGUCGUAAACCAACUCGAACUGACCUAAAGCAUGCAUAACUUGCACCUUAUUAUCACAAAUUUAUAUUGCAUCAUCAUUUAAAGACACUUACUACAAACAAAAUUUUCUACCUCCUUUUAAAGAUUUUAUUUCAGUUUUCGGCGGAAAAUGGGGCAUUUCCUUACUGUAGAGUAUUUAUUGAUACUUAUUUACCAGCACGAUGCACCUAGAGCAAUUUUAAUCAAUGUGUGAAAAGGCUUCCCGCGAUUACAGAGCGUCUCAAAACGGGAAAGCUCUGGAAACAAAUACCCAAUAAACACUAGUCAUUUGAUCAACUUGACUUCAUUUAGUUUGCAAUGUUGCUAUUUUCAUCGUGUUUUGCAUACCGGUAUUUAUUCACAUCUUGUACAGAAAUAUUUCAAAACGGAGAAGAUUGAUUUGUUUGUUGCAAGUAUCCUUAAUAAAAAGAGAGAAAAAUAAUAUACCUCUUCAAAUUUUAAUGUUGCAAAAAGUCUUAUUUUAUUAUAAAGAAAAACUGUAUUUGAUCUCGUAGGCUCCCAUAAACUACUUUAUUAUUGAUGAAUUAUUUCAUACGCAUACGGAGAAAAAAAGAAACAAAUUUUAUUGUCCCCAGUCAUAAACAAGAAUCAAAGAGAAUGAGAAUAUACCACACAGGCGCUCUACUUACUGCAGAUAAAGAAAAAAAUAAAAUAUGUUUUGGUGGCUGGUUAUGGAGGUCUAUGGACAUGCAUGAAUACAUCAACAGAAAAUAUCUGCAACAUUCAGAGACCCUUACAAACAUAUUUAUCUUUAAAACAGUAAGUUGAAACUCUUGGAUUUGUUGAGAAAACGUCACUAUCAAAACAGGGGUUGAAUGUUAUUUGUAUCGCUUCUUGUGACCAUGGUAUCGAUUCUUGUGACCAUGGUAUCGUGGCGCGAGUGGAACGAGGAGAAUAAGCCACCCGCCACAUUUCGGUUUUUUAAAAAAAAAAAAAAAUCUUAGUCACGUUUGGAAUCACAUCCUGUUCUGUUAAUUUGUUUUUGAUUAAUUAUUGAUGCAUACGAUACGUGAUAUAUUAUGUUUGUCCAUGUUAUGGACGUGACGAUAAACAACCAUCACGGUAAUUGAUUAAAAGUCCUGCUAUCUUUAGGUGUUUUUAUUCCUCAUACUUGACAUAGCGUAUUUGUCAACUAACAAGAACAAGGACAUAAAAAACAUUUCAUUUCAUUCCAAUUAUUCACUCAAACCAUUGUUAAGGGUACAAUUAUAUGAAUAUUACAUGAAUAUAUAUGUUCAUUAACCUUAGCAGAAAACAGAGUGAUGAGAGUGGCCCCUCUAAAUCUUAUCAAGAGGCAAGCUUGGUAUAUUAAUAGCUUUUUUGUAUUCAUCUUACCAAAACAAGAUAAAUGGACUCUAUCUCUGUUGAUAGACACAUCUCUCUAGAAGAACAGCGUCUCAUCUUAAUGAUGUAAAUAUCCCUUUUACUUAUUUGGUUAAAGAAAUGUAUUGAUUUACAGGGAACAGUCAUUUGUUCAUAUUGGUUGAACAUUUUUAUAUCUAACAUUUGCAUUAAAGGUCAUUCAAGCUCACACAAAACGUGUUCGAAAGAAACGUAUAUUUUGAAAUAAAACAAAAAUCGUGCCGCACUUGUCACGUUCAGGUAUAUGUAUAAUCUCCGUGAUAAAAAAAAAGUGCAGAAGUGCUAAAAUUAUAUUGAAAAUACAAAAUACUAAACCUUGUGGAAUAGAUAUGAAAGGAAGACCCGGAUUAGUCAAUGUGAUAAAGUAAUUAUUGGGUUCUUGUUUCUGACUUAUUCGAUGACACAGAUAUACAUAUAUAACACCCGUAGAGCGUGGUCAGAACUGCGCACUUCUCACCGGAAAUGUGAGAUCUUGGAACGACAGCUAGAUCUGCUCUUUCCAAGAAGCCUGGUUAACCAACCCUCUGGAUGCUGUAUUUAAACAACUUGCUAAUUGUAUCAACGGCGAUCGUCAUUUAUGCAACAAUUUUCGUCAAAAUAGGAGAAAAAUUGUUACAAAGUGUUGGACUUCAAAAAAUCAGUGUGUUUAUCUCUAUAUAGAUUGAACCGAUUAAUCUUAAACACCCUGUCUGGCACUGCCUGUAGGGGGACCUAUUCAUCUGAAUCACCCUGUCUGGCAUUGCCUAUAGGGGGGGGACCGGAUUUUUGGGCUGCUUCCUUUCUGAAAUCAAGACGAUUUGUAUGGUAGUACCAGCGCGUUUUCUCUUUAUGAUGCCAGACGGGUUUUAGAGAACACGAAAUGUUUUCAAAUCAAGCAGGCAAUUAUUGUGGACAGAUCUACCAACAUAUAUCCGUUUUGCUUUUCAUAAUUGAAAUAAAUUGAAAGUAUGUUUCAAGACCUAAUAGAAAGAGGAUUUAUGUUUCAAAUGUAGAUAAAUCCUAGGAAAGGAAGAAAUUAAACGAUAUGUUGACCACAAAUAGAACUAAAAAAAUAAACGCUGUUCACAGCAGUAUCUGAGGUUGAAGAAGAAUACGUACAAAUGAUCAGAGCGAGGACCUGACUGUGUUCAGCUCUUAAAUGAAAGAAAUACCUUAAAAAGAGAACAAAGAAAAAACAAGCCGUAUCGUCCGUAUGAUGUACCGCUAGCAGUAAUCCCCUAAAGCGUGUGCACUAAGCAGGGAUUAUCAGUCAUCUAUUAUAGUUUAUCUGGAUUUGUGUUCGUUCUAUUCACAAAAUAUUAACAAUCGGUUAAACUUGUCUGUAAACCGAGACACCAUUUGAUGUCCCUAACUUAGGUUAUACUGCGUAUUAAUUUUGGAUAGAAACAAAAUAAUCAUAUUGACUGGGUUUUGAUUUUUGUAAGUGCCCACUAGAUAUAACUAUAAACGCUUUUGAAAUAUGAUUUCCUUUGAGGUUAUUCAAAGUUUGUCAUCAAAUGUCAAAGAACUGCAAGGACGCACUGGAAUUCACGCGUGUAAUGCCUGAAAAAUGCAACAGUGAAGAAUGCAAGCAAAGCAGAGGGAAAAUAUAAAAAAAAAAAUUCAAUUUGAUAUGCGACAGAUAAUUUUGAUUUUUCUUUUGGGAAUUUCAAGAAUCUAUAGCUCUGUAAAUUACAUCCCUGGGGUACAAUUAUGACUGAUAAUCAACGCCAUUCCCGAUUUUACGUUUUUAGUUUUUCGUCUCAAUGUUGCAUCAUGCGAGUCUCUUUUGAGGGAUUUUUAUUGGUUAAACAUUGAGGACUGUGACCUUGAUCCAGUUUCCGAUCAAGAUCUAUUGUGCAUUGUAUUUGACCAGGAGACUGGAAUGGUUGAAAACUAAUAGUUUUAUGGCAUCUUUUAACAUUUAACUGUUUUCGGCUACAGAAACUUAAAUUCUCAUAUACAAGUUGGCUUUUACGACAAUGGAACAGUUAAAGGGGCAUUGGCUGUGAAAGUGAUGAUAACCAUUUUUUCUCAAAAUCUCCCAAUAUGGCACAUGAAUAUAUGUUAAAGACUAAUAAAAACAUGUAUUUUGUACAACAACAAGAGAAAUAUUAUAAACCAAGUUAGAUAACCGCUUUUAUUGUAAAGAAAUAUAUAAGGAAGAAUUAUUGUCUUGCAAGACAAUAAUCAUUUAUUCACCAAAAUCACAUUCAUGUGCUUGCUUUGAGGUAAAAAGGUGUUUGAAAAUAAUUACUGAUUAAAUACUGGUGUUAGUACUGAAAUACAUAAUACAAGCAAUUUUCAUUGAAUUCGAUUUUGGGGAACAAAAUGACAGCUAAUGCCCCUUUAAAGUAACAAUUAGGCAAUUUUUAUAACUAGAACUUUCACUACAUCCAUCGAAAACGAUAAGGCUCCAUUUUCGUGGAUAGUUGAGAUUUUACAGUGGAGAUAUGAUUUCGUGGAUAUAGCCUCUACAUACAUUGGUACAGUAAAUACCGGUAGACUGUCUAUUUUGUUGUAGUUUGAAGUUCGUGGGAUACGGGUACCCACGAAAUCCAUGAAAAUUGAGCCUCCACGAAAUAUACUGAGUCCACGGUAUGACGGAAUUAGCCCCAUGUUAGAUGAAAGAUCUUGUCUUUGCAUCCAGGACUAUUUAAGAAUUGAAGUUUUGAAAUGCACCUUAGGAGACCCCCCCCCCCCUCUUCCACCGGAAGGGCGUAGACUUCUUGUUAUUGGUUUUGUGGCUUUUGAGUGCACCUCUUAAUUUGAUAAACAAACAAACAAAAUAUACAUGUACCUGGAGAUUUAAAAAAAAAACCCACGACGAUAAGAUAAACUGGUACAACCUGUUUGUUGUUCUCCAAGUUCUUGUUUCUCGAUGGCCCGUUUUGUACCCGGACAUUUUUAGGAUCACAUUUCUGAGCUGUGUACUUUCCAAACAAAGAAACCACAAUUCGUGUACUGGGAACAAUGACGUGGAAGAAAGAAUAGUUCAAACUGAAUCAGCUAGAGAAUAAAAUGAGAUAAAUGAUAUCUCACUCUUUCAUGUCAUUUGAGGCACAUAGGAAUAUCAUGGCAGGCGUUUUGUUCUCUUUCAAUCGGAAUCUCUCGCUCUAUAGUAAAGGACGAGGAAUUCCGAUUGGUUCUGUUCCCUAGGGGUUCUUGACGGUUCAGGUAUGAAAUCCAAAUAAAAACGUAAACGCAGAUUUAGGGAGUCAUACGCGUGAACAUACUGCGGCUGCAGAGCAUAAGAUGCGCUUAAUCACCAAGUUUGAUGUGCUCUCUCCUUUCAAAUUCAACUCGAGUAUUUCUAUGUAUAAAAUCGUCGUUAUCUUAAAAAAACAAUAUAUAAUAUUUGUGAAUAUCAAAAAUAUAAUGAAAGGAACGAAGUCUCAUUUUGAACAUGGAUUUCAACAUCUAUGGACGAAUUUAGAGCAAGCUUAUGAUGGUAGCAAAGUUGCUAAUGGUCAAGGAUAGUUUUUUCAAAAGUAGUCCAAACCCCAAUGUCUGGAUCACGUGAUCAAAACUUUUGCUACUCGGAAAAGGUCUUGUCAUAAGUAAUACACAUAUCAAAUAUGAAAGCCCCAUCACCAUCCAUUCAAAAAUUAAGACCAGGGUUAUUUUUGGCGGUCAAACAGACAUACUAUAUGGAGCAUAAUAUUCUAUCCGACUUUACUUAGGAGCUUCUCUCAGUAGAGUUACAUGCAUGUUCUAAAUGAAAUUCAGAGUUCCACUGCUUUAAAUACAUUAAAUACCCAGAGAAUAAUUUCAGACCCAUAUCAAAAUUAGAGAUUGGUACAUGUAACUAUUAAGUAUUGGAGAAAAAUCAGCUCUUUUUGUGUUGAAUUAUGGACAUUAACAUUAUUACAUUUUGAAUUUUCACUCAAUCAUUAAACAGAUCUGCAUCUAAACUGUUCGCAUUAUUGCAAAAUUGAUAACGUAAGAUAUUUAGUUUUCAAAUACCUACAUUAUGUCACUUUGGCGGUGUAUCACAAAAUGGUUUUUGAUACGGAUUUAUAUUUAUAUAGUGAGAGAAGUAUUAACUGACCAUUCAUCCACAGUUUGGUCGCUGAUGUCUAAAUUUGUGGUACAUCACCUACAGCUGGUGACAUCUCAAUACGAGUGAAAAACUCUCAAAGGGACGUAGAAGAAAUAAACAAUUAAUUACAAUGACCCUUUGCACUGUUAUGAAAUUUUAGCAUGCACGUUCAACAUAUGAUAUUGGUAUGUAGAACUGAACUUGACGUCAAGCAGUGGAUUGUGUGCAACAUCUCCAACUUUGCCAUACUGUCAUGGUCGUACGAUUUUGUUGAAGAUAAACCGCACAACCUGCUACCUAAAGACAAAACCUGUUGUCGCAUGGGUAAAUCUGAAUAUACAAUCGAACAAAGCUCGAUCAUCUGAACGUUCAACCUUUAGAUAUUGGUCACGACAUGGAUAUUUAAAACGAAACCUGGUUUGUCUCCGUCGUGAUGAGACAAAACCUGGAUGAAUGUAUGCCUACUACAUCGAGACUUAAGUUGCAUAUAUAGAUUGUAUCUCAUUCGCUAUUAUGUUAGUAUAAGAUUGCUUUAGUUACGUCAAAAAAUAUUUCUUUCAAGGACCGGAUAUCCCCUCGAGGUCACGCGAAAGCUAGGAAGUCUUGUCGCAGAUUUUUGAUUUGAUGGCAGUAUGUCGGAAGGUUAUUGGUUAAGUAUGUAUAUUGCCCGAUUUUUUGUUUGUUUUGUAACUAGACAAGACAACAGUGUCGGUAUACAAUAAUAUUUUGUUGUAAGGUUUAUAUCACAAGAGCUUUGUUUGUUAGCUUUUAAUUUAAGGCACGUCAAGGAUAUGUGUAAAUGCAAAAUAAUGUCGGUUUAUGUCAUUAUUCUGAGUUUAGUAAUAUUCCAUCAUUACCUGCAUAUGUUUAUGUCUCUCGUUUGAUCGGCAAGAGCAUGUUGUCCGUAUGAUCAAAUCUUAAAUCGAAGCAGACUAAUGACAAUUAAAUUGAUGUUACAAGGGUUUGAAAGUCUCGUUUAAAAUCAGCAUUUCGUAAAUUAUAUGGUCUUUGUAGUGAUCUAAUUUACAAAUUUAACCUGCCAUGAGGUCGAAUACGGAUUUUGACUACGGAUUACUCCGUUUACCUGAUCAAGAUAAAGGCCCCUUGGCGGGUGUGACCAGUCAAUAGGGGAUAGUUAUUCCUCCUAGGCAUCCGAUUCCACUUCCGGUAUAUCUAGGGGGUCCGCGUCUGCACUAUUCUUAAUUUUGUAUUCUUUAUGAGAUUGAUCAUUGUUAUCUUCACUUCCAUAUUUAGGGAUGUAAUAGAGAUUGAUCACACGGAAUUAUGUAUCUCUUCAUGCAUGCAGAUGUUUAUUGAAAUCAAACUACGAUUUAGCAGAUUGAACACUACGCUUCAACUCUUCAAUGAAUAGUCCAAUCACAUAGGGUAUUAAGAAUUUCACAAUUUCUCUGUGUUCAACUUUAAAUUAAAUAUCUGCAUAUAUUUUCGUAAAGUGCAUACAUUCAAGUAUAUUUCAUCACAUUUAUAUUGGUCCAUUUAGAUUUCCAUGCGCAUAGUUUUAUGGAUGCACACAUGAUACGAUAUUUACAUUUUCAAUGUUUUUGUCUCAGCUAUAUCUACAAAUUGUAAUGAUAACCACUUCCUCAUGAAUGCAUUGCAGUUGUAACAAUGCGCGUAUGAAUCUUGAUAAAUAUAGUGCGUCUAUUUUAACGACUGAAUUGAAAGUAGAAUGUAAAUACAAGAAAUAAACUUCAUUUUUGAAAACACAUUAAGGUAUGAUCUACAACGCUUCACGCCGGCAAAGUUUUUACGAAGCGCUACAUGAGGUAUGUCGGCGGGAAGUGUCGUAGUACAUACCAUAGCCGUUUUUCAUGUGUUAACGCAUUUAUAUGAACUAAAGAGAGGGAUUCUUCAUCUAUUGUAACAAAGAGGUUAGAUAAGUUUUCCUAUGUUAGAUUGCAGUCUGAACGCACUAUAGCUGGACAUCUACUGCACCCCGAGAGUAACCUGAACAGACUAAAUGCUUGUCAUUGAAACAUCUGUGGUAAACUUCGGCAUUGUGAGUCGCAACCUUCGAUCUAUUAUGUACCAAAUAUUUGAAAUAUGUUUAUGCAAUUUGCAGUUCAAACAACGGACUGAAGCGCAGUCAUUUAAAAAAAAAUCUGUUUCUAUUGAGAAAUGAUACGCACUGUAUCCAUGUAUUCUCUAAGUACGACACGGUCGGUUAAAUAUUGUUAUUUAUUUUGUCAAAUUUUAAAUGCUACACUAUAAAGCUAUCAUCAAAAGAGUACAGCAGCAAGCUCAGCCAAGCCGGAAGCGGUCUUUGUAAUUUGACCGGCAGUUUACAUUAAAUUCUGGCUAUUAAGAUGGUCUCUGCUGAUUAAGGAGCCUGGUCAGCGCGUGGGUGUAAAACAUCCGCCAUUUCUGGCCCGCACGUGUAGACGUAUCGGGUUCCUACUGAAAUUCAUGACCGCUAUCAUUGCUGUCGUUUAGUAUUAUUCGUGUAUUGAUGACUAACUAAGUCCAUGCUUUGUAACGAAUUUUUGAGAGAUGCAAGAUGUUCGAUAAGCGCGGGGGGAAAAAAACUACUGAAGACUUCAAACUACUCACAUCUAAUGACAAAAAACCACAACACAGAUAGAUUAAUUUUAUAGUUGCAUUUCGCUUAGCCUUUGAUGUGUGCAUUAGUAAUGAGUAAAAUACCACAGUGGUGAUGCAUGUAUACAGGACUAGCAAUAUCUCCUUAUUAUUUUGUACGUCUCUGUACAGUUGUUAAAACAGGGGCUUCCCCUACAUUGGAUAGUAUAUUCAUCUCUAUUUUUCGACAUUGGCAAUGAGGAUGUAGUGUGCGCUUUUGUUAACCAUCCGGGUAUUCUAGAUAAGUAAUUGUAUGACGCGGCCGAUAGCUUUGCGCUACUUUUAUCAUACUUUACAGAUAUUAGUUGACGUCAGUGAUGUUCCUUUUUACAAAUUUAAAUUCUCUUUCUCCCCCCCCCCUCUCUCUCUCAUACACGAUUUGCAAAGUUCUUUGAAAUAUUCCAGCGCAAGGAGACCUGUUUUCACUGAAAACUUCUGUAUUGGGUUUACCAAAAUCCGUCAUAUCCUUUGACAGAACUCGGACCCACUUUAUGCUGGCAAUAUUAUGAUAUUACCGUUUUAUAGCAAACUGGACUCGAAUACGGAACGGGGCAGUGUUACAAUCCUGGUCUUCAAUGCGUGCGGACCGCACCAGUCUGGAAAAACCUGCAUUUUAUCAAAUUAGAUUCAAUAUAAAUGCAAAUCGCAUGAGACUGUACAAAUGACAAAUGUGUUGAAAUAAAAUAACCUUGAUAAUGAAUUAUUCAUUAAGCUGAAAUAUUUCAUUCAUUACUCUAAAGUUGUCGAAACUUUUUCUAAAUGAGAUGUGAAACCGGUUUCGAAAUUCCGAUAAGUUUUAUUUCAAGGAAGGCGUAUUCAAAACAGACAUUACUAAUAUUUUAAGUAUCGCACCUGUAAUACGAGUCAAGAUAACAUGUCGAGUAUUUUGCAAUGCGCAUAUUGGAUUAAAUAUCCCCCGUUUUACUGUAGCCUACAAUAUUUGUUAGAAUAGAAUUGAAACUUUCGCACUUGAUGAGAAUAAAAUCGUGGCACACACGUGUAUAGAAUUGAAACUUUCGCACAUGAUGAGAAUAAAAUCGUGGCACACACGUGUAUAUUGGAUUUCCCACUUUCCGAAAAUAAGUGCACACUCUAGAAACUAAUUCAUAUAUACUGAAAUAACCACACAAUCACCUUAUGCAUUUCAUUGAGGAUUCCUCGACGGCGAACUCUAGACUUACGCGCAUGCAUUCCGCAGACGAACCUGAUAGUAAUCUAAUAAAAAGACUAGAUCAGGGGUUCACAUAAAACUUACAUAACUAUUCACAACACGUAAGGUCACCUUAACCCUAUUUUACCUACUUGGCGACUCUCUCAAAAUGCAUGAAUAUUUUCUUUUCUGUAAAGCCUCGGGUGAUUUCAAUAUGGAUUUAAAGUCUCCAGUUGUUUUAAUGCUUCUUUUCAUUCAAGAAUGUAUUUAGUCGAUGAAAAUGAAUUUGUAGGUGGUCGAACGGUCACGUGUCAGCGAACAGGAAUGUUACUAAUGUGUAAUAAAAUAUAAAAAUACGCCUUAGUAUCAUGUAUGAUAUGUAAUGUCGUAAAUAGGAGAGAGAAAAAAAAACAAGACAAAAGAAUUAGAAUAUUUCUUUUUAUCUAUAAGGAAUUCCUCGGGCAUGCUUACAGAGUGCUCAUGCACCAUGUGCUAGCUCGGGUCAUCACCGUUUGUUAUGACAUACCGCAUUCCACUGGCUACAGAAAUACAUGUAGCAUAGCAUGAACAAACUUGAAACUCGGGUCUUAUACGAUCUGUCGUGCUCGUAAUAUAGUGAUCACUAUUUGAUAAAAUGUUCAUUUACUGAUCCAGACGUGAACCCUUGCAUGAAGCACCGCGUACUCUUUAAAGACAUUUGAUACUUAAAAAAGAAGAAGAAAGAAUGAAAGAAGUUGCAUGGGUUGAUAUAUAUUUUGUAGCGUCCAUAAUUCAUCAAUAAAUCAUAUGAUAUAUUUUAUUACUUAGUUUGGUUGUAAUAAGUACAAAUAAGAAAUUCCUUUUAAAUUUUUUUUAGGGACUUGUAAAUUUUCUAUGAUGUUCAAAAGUUGAAACAUAUUACAUCUCUAUAUAACUAUAAAUUUUCCCUUCUGUUUUGGAGUUAAUUAAUUGAGAUUUUAUGGGAAUAAAUUAAAUUCCACACGAUAAAUUGUAUUAAUUCUACUUAUACAAACAUAAAUUUUGUUAUAAUUUUUAUCAUUUUGAAUAAAGUUUGUAGCAAGUGUGGGUAAGCCUUCUCCUGUUGUCAGUGAGACCAUCAGCACUUUAACAUUGGGACUACUUUAUCCAAGACAUUCUGGACUAAAUCCUGAAAGAUUUAAAUGUCGUCAAAGGAUAAUAAAUAGACUGAUAUGUAUAAAAUCUCCCACGAUCUUUGACUCAGAAUAGAUAAUCAUUGUAGCAUGGAAUUUCUUUCAUUCAUAACAUUCCUUUACAGACAAUAUAUUGCAGGCUAAACUUCAUGUAGUUCUCCAUGUCCGUCCUUUUUACUUCGCAUAUCGCAAUUUUUCACGCAAGAUCAAUUUACAUGUUACUGGCAACUAUCCAGGUCACCGAGAAAAAUACCCCCAAAAAUUCGUAGAUAUAACAUGCACACCGUAGAAUUUGUAAAAAAAAAUAAAAAAUCAAAAAGAAAAAAUCACGAGAAGUCUAAGAGUGCACUUGUUCACCCACGAAAACAUCCUUGAGACGACGAAAGGGAAUUCAGUUAAUGACUUCUCUGUACCGGGAUUCGGCGGUGAGUUUGUUUCUGGAGAUAGCAUACACCGUGAUUCAUGAACGAAUUGAACAAAUAAU